AGAUGGGUAAAUAAAAUAGAGUAAUAUAGAAAAUAGAUAAUUUGGGGUAAAUGAUAAAGAAUAAGAAAAAAUUCAUAUGCAUCAAAACUAUAUUUCAUCCUUGCUAUACUUGCAGCCAUAUGAAGAAGUGUGAGUCAGAACCUUAGGAAUGAGUUGGUCUUUAACAUUGGUAGCCUUUGAGGCAUUAUUGGUUUCAAAAACUAGAGGUGGGUGACUGCCAGAACUAGAGGGUGACCUCAAAGAAUCAUUACAAAAUAAAGAUGACAAUUGCUUUGAAGUCUCAAAUAACAUAUUCUUUUCAUCUUCAACCUCAAGUUCUAAGACUACCAUGAACUUGAUAGAAGAGUCUUGAAUGAAAUAACUAAUGAGAAUCUUGAAGAAGCCAAACUUGAAG
rnacentral:lncRNA from 1 species